rnacentral:rRNA from 1 species
UUACACAUGCAAGUCGAACGGUAACAGGUCUUCGGAUGCUGACGAGUGGCGAACGGGUGAGUAAUACAUCGGAACGUGCCCGAUCGGGGGGGAUAACGAGGCGAAAGCUUUGCUAAUACCGCAUACGAUCUACGGAUGAAAGCGGGGGAUCUUCGGACCUCGCGCGGACGGAGCGGCCGAUGGCAGAUUAGGUAGUUGGUGGGAUAAAAGCUUACCAAGCCGACGAUCUGUAGCUGGUCUGAGAGGAUGAUCAGCCACACUGGGACUGAGACACGGCCCAGACUCCUACGGGAGGCAGCAGUGGGGAAUUUUGGACAAUGGGCGAAAGCCUGAUCCAGCCAUGCCGCGUGCAGGAUGAAGGCCUUCGGGUUGUAAACUGCUUUUGUACGGAACGAAAAGCCUCUUUCUAAUAAAGAGGGGUCAUGACGGUACCGUAAGAAUAAGCACCGGCUAACUACGUGCCAGCAGCCGCGGUAAUACGUAGGGUGCAAGCGUUAAUCGGAAUUACUGGGCGUAAAGCGUGCGCAGGCGGUUUUGUAAGACAGAGGUGAAAUCCCCGGGCUCAACCUGGGAACUGCCUUUGUGACUGCAAGGCUGGAGUGCGGCAGAGGGGGAUGGAAUUCCGCGUGUAGCAGUGAAAUGCGUAGAUAUGCGGAGGAACA